GACGAACGCUGGCGGCGUGCUUAACACAUGCAAGUCGAACGGAAAGGCCCUGCUUUUGUGGUGUGCUCGAGUGGCGAACGUGUGUGUAACACGUGAGUAACCUGCCCUUCACUUUGGUAUAACUUCAGGAAACUGGGGCUUAUACCGUAUAGGAGCCUCUCCUGCAUUGUGGGUUUUGGAAAUUUUCGGCGGUUGGGGAUGGACUCGCGGCUUAUCAGCUUGUUGGUGGGGUAGUGGCUUACCAAGGCUGUGACGGGUAGCCGGCCUGAGAGGGUGACCGGCCACAUUGGGACUGAGAUACGGCCCAGACUCCUACGGGAGGCAGCAGUGGGGAAUAUUGCACAAUGGGCGGAAGCCUGAUGCAGCAACGCCGCGUGAGGGAUGACGGCCUUCGGGUUGUAAACCGCUUUCGCCUGUGACGAAGCGUGAGUGACGGUAAUGGGUAAAGAAGCACCGGCUAACUACGUG
rnacentral:rRNA from 1 species